GGGCCUAUAGCUCAGUUGGUCAGAGCAGAGGACUCAUAAUCCUUUGGUCCACGGUUCAAGUCCGUGUGGGCCCACCA
rnacentral:tRNA from 164 species